rnacentral:rRNA from 1 species
CAGCCGCCGCGGUAAAACGAAGGGGGCUAGCGUUGUUCGGAAUUACUGGGCGUAAAGCGCACGUAGGCGGAUAUUUAAGUCAGGGGUGAAAUCCCAGAGCCCAACUCUGGAACUGCCUUUGAUACUGUGUAUCUUGAGUAUGGAAGAGGUGAGUGGAAUUCCGAGUGUAGAGGUGAAAUUCGUAGAUAUUCGGAGGAACACCAGUGGCGAAGGCGGCUCACUGGUCCAUUACUGACGCUGAGGUGCGAAAGCGUGGGGAGCAAACAGGAUUAGAUACCCGUGUAGUCCCUGUCUCUUAUAC